rnacentral:rRNA from 1 species
GGGAAUCUGCCCUUCGGUUGGGAAUAACUGAGAGAAAUUUCAGCUAAUACCUUAUAAUGUCUUCGGACCAAAGAUUUAUCGCCGAGGGAUGAGCCUGCGUAGGAUUAGGUAGUUGGUGGGGUAAUGGCCUACCAAGCCGACGAUCCUUAGCUGGUCUGAGAGGAUGAUCAGCCACACUGGGACUGAGACACGGCCCAGACUCCUACGGGAGGCAGCAGUGGGGAAUAUUGGACAAUGGGCGAAAGCCUGAUCCAGCAAUGCCGCGUGAGUGAUGAAGGCCUUAGGGUUGUAAAGCUCUUUUACCCGGGAUGAUAAUGACAGUACCGGGAGAAUAAGCUCCGGCUAACUCCGUGCCAGCAGCCGCGGUAAUACGGAGGGAGCUAGCGUUGUUCGGAAUUACUGGGCGUAAAGCGCGCGUAGGCGGUUACUCAAGUCAGAGGUGAAAGCCCGGGGCUCAACCCCGGAACUGCCUUUGAAACUAGGUAACUAGAAUCUUGGAGAGGUCAGUGGAAUUCCGAGU